GACGAGGGAUCCUAGCGUUGCUCGGAAUCAUUGGGCGUAAAGCGGGUGUAGGUGGCUUGACAAGUCAGGUGUGAAAGCCCAGGGCUCAACCCUGGAAGUGCAUUUGAAACUGUCGAGCUUGAGUGCUAGAGAGGUUAUUAGAAUACCUGGUGUAGUGGUGAAAUACGUAGAUAUCAGGUGGAACACCGGAGGCGAAGGCGGAAUAACUGGCUAGACACUGACACUGAGACCCGAAAGUGUGGGGAUCAAACAGG
rnacentral:rRNA from 1 species